UGGGGAAUAUUGGACAAUGGGCGAAAGCCUGAUCCAGCCAUGCCGCGUGUGUGAAGAAGGUCUUCGGAUUGUAAAGCACUUUAAGUUGGGAGGAAGGGCAGUAAGCGAAUACCUUGCUGUUUUGACGUUUCCGACAGAAUAAGCACCGGCUAACUCUGUGCCAGCAGCCGCGGUAAUACAGAGGGCGCAAGCGUUAAUCGGAAUUACUGGGCGUAAAGCGCGCGUAGGUGGUUCGUUAAGUUGAAUGUGAAAGCCCCGGGCUCAACCUGGGAACUGCAUCCAAAACUGGCGAGCUAGAGUAGGGCAGAGGGUGGUGGAAUUUCCUGUGUAGCGGUGAAAUGCGUAGAUAUAGGAAGGAACACCAGUGGCGAAGGCGACCACCUGGGCUCAUACUGACACUGAGGUGCGAAAGCGUGGGGAGCAAACAGG
rnacentral:rRNA from 1 species